AACUCCGUGGUGAAAUUCAUACCAAAUUGCAAAUUUGAAGAUACACUUUAUCCGUGUCGGGGUUU
rnacentral:tRNA from 1 species